CCUCGUGUGUGACUCGAGAGAAUGAGAAUGGCGUUGUUGUUUUUUUUCUUCUACGAGAGAGAGGAUUUAUUAUUAUAAUUCUGGAGGAGGGAAUUGUAAUGAAAUUGGACGAAUUUUAUUAUUAUUCGAAGAAUUUCUUUCGAGAAGAAACUUGAACUUGUGGAGAAACUAUGAAGUCUGUUUAAAGUUUUAUAAAACUUGUUUCAUAAUUGUGAAUAGUAAUGAACAGUACGUGAAAUAAUAGGAAGGAAAUAAGCGUUCGAUAUAGGAGGAUAACGGAGCUCGUAAAGAGUCGUAAACGAAUUAUGAUCGACGCUCGAUUGCGGAAACGUAUGAAUCAACUGAUAGUUGAUGACUCAUCCCUCCCCCUCCCCCGUCAAUUUAUGAACUCCCUGGACACUUCGGUUUUAAUCAGCUACGUCACGGACGUCAAUUACUCAUCGUUUAUAAUAAAGGAAGAAGAUAAUGAACAAGCAACUACUUAUGUACAUACGUUCGGUAUUCUUAUUGAAGACAAUCGAAAGCGAUAAUCGAGAAUGCAAAUAUCGGCGCCAUUUCCAAGGGCGAGAACGAUCGAGAUUCCAAUCCAAGAUUUUCAUUUUGCCAUUGGGAAUCCAAUUGUUUUAUUAAGAAAAAAAAAAUAUAUUCUCUUCUCUCUUCGAAUUUAUUUCGUCACAAUUCAUUACAAUUUCAUUUUCGAGAAGAAUAUCGUAUCAACGGGGAUUAAAAUGGAUUAAAAUUAAAGAAGGUCCGAAUGACUGAAAAGCAAGGCGAAAUGUUAAAGGCAGGCACGUUUAGGGGGAUCAUCUUCCACGGCGGAAACAUUGUUUCUGUACCCGUUUCGCGACACGAUUCGCCACAAUAUUGCACAUUAAUCGCAUAACCGUUGGUUGCGCAACCAACGUGGCUUCCAUUGUGCGAGUCGUAAGCGCGCAGACACGAUCGACGAUAAUAAUGAUCUUUUGUCUUUCUUUGGCCAAAGGACGCGUUAACGACGCGCGACUUAGACGCCCGGCUAAAGAUCCACGUGUCACGUUAUUUGUUUCCUAUUGUGCCGUAAAUAACAGAGCCGGGAUGGUAAUUCUCUCGCGUGGAUAAAACCGGGCCUUGGAGAAGAUACGACAUUAUUCCGAUGAUAUAUCAACGAGAUUUCGAAUAUUUCUUGGGACGAAAUAGGAAUGCUCUAAAAAUUUCGAAUUAUUUUGUGCAUACAGGGAUCGAAAAUUCGGGGAAGCUUUUCAAUUUGUGAGGGGAAAUUUAUUUCCUGGCAAUGGCAUAUUCCAGUUCGCUGAACGAGCUGUCCAAGCACGGUUAUGCUAAAGCCAAAUCGGAAUCAUCUUGCUCCUGACGAGGGUUAAUUUCGUUAUCCAUCAAGUGUUUGUCCACUAGAGUCGUUGUCACUCGGGGGAUGAACUGCGAGGCAACGAAAACAGGAUUGCAGACUUAAGAGUCUUAACGUUCACCCACCCAUCCCUCUCCGAGAUGAUUACAACGCGUCAAUCUAUCGAGAUUCGCCAACCAAUGUACACAAGGAAUAAUACUUCUCUUCGUGGUAUUAUAUAAACUGACGAGCUCUUUCUCCGUUUAAUUGAGAAUCUUUUUCAGAAAAAAAAAAAAGGAUACUAAAAAUCAACUCCUUUUUAUCUCGAAUCUACAUCCAGGAACAAUUAAUUAGUGUCACGAUUCGAAGCAAGAAUUAAUAGGAACAAUCAUAGAAUCAACUUGUUACAUAUCCUUUGGAAAACAAAUUUUUCUUCCACGAAAGGACAAACUUUUAUCGCUUUGCAAAGCGAUUAACACCGAUUCGUGGACGCUAAAAUUCGACGGAACGGCCAAUAAGAUCCUCUUCUCCCCUCGAAAUGGGAUGGACGGAAGUUCUUGGCGGGUAAACUUGUUUAAUGAACGAACAAGGGACGUCUGUCCACCGUCUGGCAAAUCGUCGGCGGCCCACACCCCUACCUAUCCGUGGUAUACGUGUCUCCCUUGUCGACAACUGCGAGAAACUCAUCUAACGUGAUUUCGGUUUCACCAGGCUCGAGGAAUGGUAUCGAGGAUGGAGAAACAGUUGUCUAGUCGUUUGUUGGACACGUGUACAGGAGAUAAUGUUGAUAGAUCGUGGGAAAGGUAAGUGAUUUUUUUGCUUUUGAUAUCUGAAGAUAAAUGAAUGAUAAUUCCUUUCGAAAAUAUUGUAUACGUGGAUCGAUAUCGUUAAAGUUAAUUAUUCCAGAAAGAAUGUUGGAGCAAAGGGUAAUUCGAAUAACGAAACGAUUAACAGGGGACGAUUAAUUGGGAAGAUAGAAGUGAAAGAGGGAUAAGGGGGGAGAGUGGUAUCAAGCAUCAGAAACUGGGAAAUUUUCAUCGGUCGAUGCACGCAACUCGGGGGUUGGGGAAGAGAGAAUGACCACGAUCCUUUGAAGUCUUGUCAGGGCUGCUUUUCAGAUUAUAUUCUCCAAAGAGAAUGCUUCAAACGAGUUCUCUUUUCUCCGGUGACAAAACCAGAAUAACAGUUUAACAGGCGUGUUUAUGGAAAGGAGGUGAGAGGGAAGCAAAGAGGGGGAAGCUGUCUGCGGCAAAGUUCUCAUUUUCGCGGGUAUCAAAAGGUGGCCGCAGGUGGUAUCUGCACUCGUCUUCUGGCUGGGAUCGACAGUCAGGAUGAUCCCUUUGUUUCUCGAUAUAAAUCAAUAUAUCCUCAAAUUGCUCCUGUCGCGAGAUUUCCAAUCGUGACAGAUAUUAUCGAUCUUUUCCCUGUGGAAAGGGAAAUAUCCAUAAAUAUUCAUUUUCAUGAAUAAAAAAAAAAGAAAGAGGGGAAAAAUAUUCCAUUUCAUAAAUCUCCGAUCUUUUAACUCGUGUUUCGAUCGGAUGAACGAGAAACACAGGAAAGUAUCGAUUCAAAAAUCUUGUUGUCCCGGAUAAAAAUUGUAAUUUUCGUCCAGGUCUCGUUUUAAAUAUUCCUUGUCGUACCAUUUGUGCAAUAUGUAUACAAUUUAUCUUUUGUAGCAGUGUCCACGAUUUGAUUGUCACGUAUUCCGUAAAUCGAGAAAAAACGCAGCUGAAGCUAUUCCAUAUUGACAGACGAAAUAUAUAUAUAUAAAGAGAGAAAAAAUAUAGAAAGAGGACGAUUAUACACAAGAACCAAUAACACAAUUUUCUGUUUUUAAUCUUUUUGAAUAUAUCAAUUAAAUGCUAAAAUAAAUCGAAAAGUUCAACCACGACUUGGAUGUUUAUCAAGAAAGAAUUACUCGAAGGGAAUUUUUAAUUUAUUCCAUCUUACGUGACUUUUGCCUCUGUUUUAUUCUAUCUUCGAGUUAACCAUAGUUUCGAAGAGAAUAAGAAAAAUUUAAGAAUUAAAAAAAAAAAAAAGAAGAGAAGAGUUUAAUGAUUAAAAUUCGUAGGAAGGAAUCGUUCAAAUAUCCUUGAUAUUCGAGGAAUGUUGAGAGGCACAAGAGGCGUCGAUAUUUCAUUUUCCAGGCGAUCGGUAAACCAAUCACAACGAGGAAAAGUACCUCUCCACCCUUUGUGUCUCGCGAUCUUGGCGUAACUUGUUAAUGAACCACCCUCGACACCCGCCGCAACCAUAACCGCCAACUUUGAUCCUAUCGCUCGCCUUUCUGUCGCGACGAUUAUGGCAAAUCCAAGGUUUUUCUUUUUUCAAUUUUUUAUCCCGCCUGUAAACGAGGCUGUUAACCAUAUUAAAUUUGCCUCAUUAACUUAUGGAAGCAUUAUCAUAUAAUAUAAUAACAGCGAAACAUUGUCGUGACCUCGUGCAAUUAACUGAGGGAUAACAGAAGAGUUUAAUUUGAAAGAAAAUAUUUCGCGUAUGUAUUUCAAUUUAAUUAUUGUUUGUGCACACGCUGAUACGAUGUCACGUUUAGUAAAAAAUAAUUCAAGAAACUUGUCGAAAACUUGUGGUAAAAACAAAAACUGAAUUAUCUUUGUAGAAAAACGAAUGACGUAAAGGUGUUCGAAUUAUCAAAUAAACGUUACGAACGUUGGGAAGAAAAAUCUAAUAACCUGAUAACAUUGAGGAGUGUGGUAUAUUUCAAACCAUUUAAGCAAAUGGAACGGCCAUUGUUCUACAUCAGACAGCCUCGUAAUUCUUUCCUCAUAGUGUAUUUCCUUGCUUGACAUCUUUUAAUAAAUUAUAAAUUAAACUGCUAGUUUAUAUUUACCAUCCAAUUUGAUUAAUCUUUAUUUUACUAGAAUACAAGAAAUAACUAUACAACUCGUUUCAAUAUAUCCAAACAUACUCCAGAGGAUUAAUGCACAAUUCACUCAAAAAAGAUGCAUUGUUUCCAAAGCGAUCGAACAAAGAAAUCUGAAUCGCUGUUUAAAUUUUCCAUCCCCAAGAAGAUUCGAAGCGGAAGAGGAAAUGUACCGGUUGAACACAGCACCAUCCACUCUUUACACGGUUCGAGGAUUAUUUACACGGCCCGUGAAAAAUCCUCCGAUCGGAUGCAACAAACUUGUUUACGAGCGGUUUGAGCCAGGGCGGCAGCUCUGAUACGCGUCGACCAUCCCUCCCUUUCUCCAACCCCUUUGUCCCAACUCCGCGCCCCAAUCGGGAUCAAUAUGUUCCCCGGUCGUGGAUCGUCGUGGAAACGUUGUGGAAAACGCCUUGCACCGAGGUAAGGACGAUAAAUCUUGAUUUCGGGGCAUUGAUAUGCCUUGCCGUGUCUCGAGGAAACGCUGUUGGAAGCGCGAGAUCGAUGGAUCCCCGCUUCAUGGGGGAUAAUUUCGAAUGGCGGAUGCAAUCCAGGGUGCAGACGAUACUGUCGGGAUCCAUCCACUUCCGGGAUGUCCCUUCCGCGUGGCUUUAUCUCUCGAUUAUUGACUGGUUUCGAAACGAGAAGCCGUUAUCGCUUUGCGUUUCUAUUCACGCGAUCGAUGAAGGGACGGUGAUGUUUCUUAACGAAUGAUGGAUACGAAUGAUGGUUUGGUAGAAAUUUGCAGAUGAAGUAUUUCUUUAAUAUGUUUCAGUGUUUACAUCUUGAAUUAUUGUAAUUUGAUAUCUUAAUCAAUUGUAUAAACUAUAUCAAUUGUGGGGAAAGGUAUUGUAUAGGAAAUACGAUGAUCGAGAUGAAAGUUAUUUAAUCAAUUGGCAGACUUCGAAUGUUAAAGAAAUGUUAAAGUGGAAGAUCGAGUGGAAUUCGUUGAUCUUGAAUUCAACUAUUUUUAAAGUGCAAAUUCUAUUUUUUUUUUUAACGAUAAUAUAAUGUACACGCAUAGAUAUGUAAGUAUAUUUUAGUGAGAUAAUUUAUUUUCAAGGAAGCCACGAUACAAUAAAUUGAACGUUUAACACACGUGUGUGUGUGUGUACUCGUUUUACAUGAAUGUAAUAUUAAUGAUAACUUUGAAAUUCCUUCUAUCGGUUUUAUUUAUUAUACUUUUCGAGUUAUUCGGUUCAAAAAUAUUCAAGGUUAAUCAAGGAAACACGGAAAAUAUUACGAAACAGUGAAAUAGUUUUUAAAGAUGAUCUAAUUCUAGACAAAUUAUAAAUAUAACAAAAACGAGAGAGUGUCUACUGAAAAUUCAAUCG